rnacentral:rRNA from 1 species
GUUUGAUCCUGGCUCAGGACGAACGCUGGCGGCGUGCCUAAUACAUGCAAGUCGAACGAACUCUGGUAUUGAUUGGUGCUUGCAUCAUGAUUUACAUUUGAGUGAGUGGCGAACUGGUGAGUAACACGUGGGAAACCUGCCCAGAAGCGGGGGAUAACACCUGGAAACAGAUGCUAAUACCGCAUAACAACUUGGACCGCAUGGUCCGAGUUUGAAAGAUGGCUUCGGCUAUCACUUUUGGAUGGUCCCGCGGCGUAUUAGCUAGAUGGUGGGGUAACGGCUCACCAUGGCAAUGAUACGUAGCCGACCUGAGAGGGUAAUCGGCCACAUUGGGACUGAGACACGGCCCAAACUCCUACGGGAGGCAGCAGUAGGGAAUCUUCCACAAUGGACGAAAGUCUGAUGGAGCAACGCCGCGUGAGUGAAGAAGGGUUUCGGCUCGUAAAACUCUGUUGUUAAAGAAGAACAUAUCUGAGAGUAACUGUUCAGGUAUUGACGGUAUUUAACCAGAAAGCCACGGCUAACUACGUGCCAGCAGCCGCGGUAAUACGUAGGUGGCAAGCGUUGUCCGGAUUUAUUGGGCGUAAAGCGAGCGCAGGCGGUUUUUUAAGUCUGAUGUGAAAGCCUUCGGCUCAACCGAAGAAGUGCAUCGGAAACUGGGAAACUUGAGUGCAGAAGAGGACAGUGGAACUCCAUGUGUAGCGGUGAAAUGCGUAGAUAUAUGGAAGAACACCAGUGGCGAAGGCGGCUGUCUGGUCUGUAACUGACGCUGAGGCUCGAAAGUAUGGGUAGCAAACAGGAUUAGAUACCCUGGUAGUCCAUACCGUAAACGAUGAAUGCUAAGUGUUGGAGGGUUUCCGCCCUUCAGUGCUGCAGCUAACGCAUUAAGCAUUCCGCCUGGGGAGUACGGCCGCAAGGCUGAAACUCAAAGGAAUUGACGGGGGCCCGCACAAGCGGUGGAGCAUGUGGUUUAAUUCGAAGCUACGCGAAGAACCUUACCAGGUCUUGACAUACUAUGCAAAUCUAAGAGAUUAGACGUUCCCUUCGGGGACAUGGAUACAGGUGGUGCAUGGUUGUCGUCAGCUCGUGUCGUGAGAUGUUGGGUUAAGUCCCGCAACGAGCGCAACCCUUAUUAUCAGUUGCCAGCAUUAAGUUGGGCACUCUGGUGAGACUGCCGGUGACAAACCGGAGGAAGGUGGGGAUGACGUCAAAUCAUCAUGCCCCUUAUGACCUGGGCUACACACGUGCUACAAUGGAUGGUACAACGAGUUGCGAACUCGCGAGAGUAAGCUAAUCUCUUAAAGCCAUUCUCAGUUCGGAUUGUAGGCUGCAACUCGCCUACAUGAAGUCGGAAUCGCUAGUAAUCGCGGAUCAGCAUGCCGCGGUGAAUACGUUNCCGGGCCUUGUACACACCGCCCGUCACACCAUGAGAGUUUGUAACACCCAAAGUCGGUGG